rnacentral:lncRNA from 1 species
UUCUUCCUUUCUUUUUUCCCCCCCUUCCCUUCUGCUGUGUGCACACAGGUUCACACCCUAAGGCUACAGGUCUGUGGCAUAUGGGAGGCACAGGGAGGCAAUUCUUGAAGAAUGAUGAAAAUAAUCGUAGAAAUCAAGAGAAAAGAAGAGAUGAAAUGCAAGAUAUUGAGAGAUGAAAGGAGGGAGUGUGCUGGAGUCGGAUGUAAUCCUGUCCAGAGAAUGGGGAUCAUGAUCAUGGCUGCAGUGUCCUGACUAACCUCAUGUGAUCCUCCAGCCCCAUGCAGUGCUUCCAGUUCCUCAAACCUCACAUGCAGGGUGACCUCCAGCAGGAGGAGCAGCUCUUCCAAGAUCUCAGACAAUCAUUCUGGCCCCCACUGGGGUUGGAAGAAUCAUCAUCCUGGCAUCCAUAUUUGCACCAUCUGUGAUGAGGAGAGCUGUGCGGUUACAGAUCAAUCAUACACACUCGAACACACACACACACACACCCACAAACAAUGGAAACAUACAAAUGCUAAGAUAUAGAGAGAAACAAUGACAUUUUCUCUGAUUCACAAGCACAUAAAAUGCUUUCAGUCUGCGUGGGUAUACGCAUACACACACACACACACAAUUCUGCAUCCCAGUGUUGUAGUCGAUCCCUGUUCUCAUCUAAUCCCCAAAUCCCUUACCUAAUUUGGGCUAAAAACCACAACAAAUGAGAUGAUACCAUGUUCUAGUGUAGCCUAAGUGAGUGAUUUGCUACAGUAGCUUCCACUGCUGAUCGUG